AACAUCGCGCACCUGCGGGAACCUGCGGAAGGAUCAUUACCGAGUUUACAACUCCCAAACCCCUGUGAACAUACCACUUGUUGCCUCGGCGGAUCAGCCCGCUCCCGGUAAAACGGGACGGCCCGCCAGAGGACCCCUAAACUCUGUUUCUAUAUGUAACUUCUGAGUAAAACCAUAAAUAAAUCAAAACUUUUAGCAAUGGAUCU
rnacentral:misc_RNA from 1 species